rnacentral:misc_RNA from 1 species
AAAAACAAUUUGGCAAUGGCAAUGCCUAGCAGAACUUUCUGGGCUUCCCAAAUCAAAAAGUAUUCUGAUUUAACAUUAUUCAGGACAGUGAAUCCAAUGGGACUCUCUUCAAAAAACUUAAGUCAUGAGAGAAAAGUGACAACCUAUGGUGUGGCUGAAGAGGAUCUAGUGCACAUUUUUUCAAACCUUGUGAAGUGAUAAGCAUCUUGCACAAUUGAAGAAAAAUCUGAAAUUCAAACACAUUUCUGCCAGGACCACCAGAUCGUAACAUACCAGGUAUAUAAAAGCAAGCAAUUAGGACCACAUGAGCAUUGGGGAAUAGCCAACUGGAACCCUUGGGAACCAUGCCCAUGAUUAUGCAAUUGAUUAGUCACUUUUCAUGCAAAAGCAUCAGUUGAGACUUGUUAUUUUCACACAACCAGCACUUAAAUUUCCCAACCUUUCCAUUGCAUUACUUCUUGUCAUUUCAUCCAACUUGCAUGAAAGUCAGAAACUUGGAUGAUUUUUUUCUCCUUUUUUAGUCCAUAACCCAAUCCCAUCUCACAAGAUUCUAACUUGAGAUAUCCUGAUGGAAAUCCUUGGGAAAGAGAAUGACUUUAUAGAGGAAGGUGGGGAGCAUCAUAAUUCAAGCAGGAUCCAGAUUGAAACUUCAAGGAAAAAAAAAAAAUUUGAUCACUGUCUCCUA